AUUGAACGUUGGCGGCAUGCCUUACACAUGCAAGUCGAACGGCAGCACGGGAGCUUGCUCCUGGUGGCGAGUGGCGAACGGGUGAGUAAUACAUCGGAACGUACCCUGAAGUGGGGGAUAACGUAGCGAAAGUUACGCUAAUACCGCAUAUUCUGUGAGCAGGAAAGAGGGGGAUCGCAAGACCUCUUGCUUUAGGAGCGGCCGAUGUCGGAUUAGCUAGUUGGUGAGGUAAAGGCUCACCAAGGCGACGAUCCGUAGCGGGUCUGAGAGGAUGAUCCGCCACACUGGGACUGAGACACGGCCCAGACUCUACGGGAGGCAGCAGUGGGGAAUUUUGGACAAUGGGCGCAAGCCUGAUCAGCCAUGCCGCGUGAGUGAAGAAGGACCUCGG
rnacentral:rRNA from 1 species